rnacentral:misc_RNA from 1 species
ACAUCAACGCCGGCUGGCGCCGCCGUGUUUGCCUGGCAGCCGCUUUCACCGCCUGUACCUGACGGCCUCACUCAGCACCCCGUCCCUUCCCCCCUCGCACGUCAGCCUUUCUACGGUCCCACCGCCAUACACGAAUGAUGCGUCUCCUCCACAAAUGCGACCUCUUUCGUGUGGUACAGGACAGCGAGAACCACCUGACGCCUGCCACCCCGUACGGGGCCGCCGUCAGCAUUGCAACGAUGACAGUCUUGGUGAUUCUCUUCAUAGGUGAGUGCUACGGCUACGUGAGCGGGCACCAAAACUGCCACAUCACCCCGUCCGCCUUCAAGAACAUUCUCGACGCCGACAUGCAACGCAAGGUGGACAGGCUGCACUUCUCCAUCAGCCUGCCCUACAUGCCGUGCCACCGCAUCGCCACGGAGACAGUCUCUGUGUUUGCGCACGACGAGCAGGCAGAGCGAGACACGCACAUAUCGCUCUAUCACAUUCCAUAUGGCUCCUACGUCUCGAAUUCGUCCGCGGCCUACAUUUCCGGCGAAGUGCUUUCCGGGACGGAGCACGGCUGCCUCGUCACAGGCACUGCCCCCAUCGCCGCCAAGCCCUCUUCCUUCAAUAUCAUCUUGAAAGACUACAGGGUGGAGGACAGCAGAAAGUACCGGCCCGACUUUCAGAUCCACCACUUCUCGGGUGGCAAUGCGUACGGCGACUGGGGCGUUCCGCAGGUCCGCCAUCAAACGCUGGAGCCGAUGUCUGGCUUCAAGAGCGCCCACGCCCUGCAGGAGCCGUAUUUUUUUCAGUUCUUCCUUCAGCUCAUCCCAACCACGGUGGACCUCGCCGGCAAGGACAGCCGCGUUGGCUACCAGUACACCGCGUUCCACUCCAUGCUGCGGUACAACGGCCAAGGCAGGGCACCUGGGCUGUACUUCUCCUACAAGCUGUCACCUUUUUCGAUGGAUUGUGCCGUGCAGUACGACACCUUGAGUCAUUUUGUGGUGAAUUUGUGCGCCGUAGUGGGCGGCGUCUACACCGUGGCGGAGAUGGUGGAGGCGGGGAUGGAGUGGCUGGCACGCGAGCGGCGACUGAGAGAGGUGUCCGCCCGCAACCGCCGCAACGCCGAAGCACUCAAGAACGCCGCGGGUGGGGCGCCCAUUGCGUCCUAAAGAGGGGCGGCGGUGGAGGUGAGAGUUGUGUGCUCUGCAGUGUGCAGUUCGACUCCCUGUGAGACUGGAUCGGAUUAGUGUCGCGGUCGCCUGCCCCAGGCACACCAGAACGCUGACUUUGGCCCUGGCUAUCGCUCACGCACGGCUUCAUCCUCGACGAGCGGGUCGCGCAUUCCUUCGCCGUGUCUAUUUGCUGCAGCACACGCAAAGUGCUCACCGCCACAGCCAUGCCCACCAUCGAGGAGCGGAGCGCCACGGUGCUCUCUCGUGCCGCGCAUAUGUGAUGGGGUUCGGUUUCGUUGACAGCGAACGCUGCAGAGGGGUGGGGGCUGUGGAGCGUGGCAAACUGCAUUCGACUCUCCGAAAUCCAAAAAAACGCCGACCUCAUGCUCGCUCACUGCUUCCCUCCCUCUUCCCUUGCCUCCUUAUCCUGUGUUCUUUCUGCCGGUGGCACGUGCACACAAAACGCAUUGUUGCUCAG